UGUAAAAUGGCUGAGGAUAGGUGAUAGAUUGUAAAUCUAUUUAGGGGAUUGAAUAUCCUUUUACCA
rnacentral:tRNA from 1 species